GACGUAGGGCGCGAGCGUUGUCCGGAUUUAUUGGGCGUAAAGAGCUCGUAGGCGGCUUGUCGCGUCGACUGUGAAAUCCCGCGGCUCAACUGCGGGUCUGCAGUCGAUACGGGCAGGCUAGAGUUCGGUAGGGGAGACUGGAAUUCCUGGUGUAGCGGUGAAAUGCGCAGAGUAUCAGGAGGGAACACCCGGGUGGCGAAAGGGCGGGGUCUCCUG
rnacentral:rRNA from 1 species